CUGGUUGAUCCUGCCAGUAGUCAUAUGCUUGUCUCAAAGAUUAAGCCAUGCAUGUCUAAGUAUAAACAUCUUUAUACAGUGAAACUGGGUACAGCUCAUUAUAUCAGUAAUUAUUUAUUUGAUGGUACCUUACUACAUGGAUAACCGUAGUAAUUCUAGAGCUAAUACAUGCGUAAAGUCCCGACUCUUGCGGGGAGGGAUGUAUUUAUUAGAUAAAAAAUCAAUGCAGGCUUUGCCUGGUUAUUUGGUGAUUCAUAGUAACUGUUCGAAUCGCAUGGCUUUAUGCUGGCGAUAGUUCGUUCAAAUUUCUGCCCUAUCAGCUUUCGACGGUAGUGUAGUGGACUACCGUGGCGUUAACGGGUGACGGAGAAUUAGGGUUCGAUUCCGGAGAGGGAGCCUGAGAAACGGCUACCACAUCCAAGGAAGGCAGCAGGCGCGCAAAUUACCCAACCCUGACACAGGGAGGUGGUGACAAAAAAUAACAAUACCGGGCCUUUUCAGGUCUGGUAAUUGGAAUGAGUACAAUUUAAAUCCCUUAACAAGGAUCCAUUGGAGGGCAA
rnacentral:rRNA from 1 species